UAGCGGUUACGGUGCUCGGCUGCUGACUCGAAGGUUGCGGGAUCGAAUUCCGGCCGCGGCCGCUGCAUUUACGAUGAGGCGAAAAUGUUUGAAGCCCGUGUACCUUCAUUUAGGGGCACGUUAUAAACCCCACGUGAUCGAAAAUUCCGGAGCCCUCCUGCGGCGUCGCUCAUAAUCAUAUCGUGGUUUUGGGACGUUAAACCCCAGAUAUUAUUAUUAAA
rnacentral:lncRNA from 1 species